rnacentral:rRNA from 1 species
GUAGGGUGCGGGCGUUAAUCGGAAUUACUGGGCGUAAAGCGUGCGCAGGCGGCCUCUUAAGUCAGAUGUGAAAUCCCCGGGCUUAACCUGGGAACUGCGUUUGAAACUGGGAGGCUUGAGUGUGGAAGAGGGGGGUGGAAUUCCAGGUGUAGCAGUGAAAUGCGUAGAGAUCUGGAGGAACACCGAUGGCGAAGGCAGCCCCCUGGGCUGACACUGACGCUCAUGCACGAAAGCGUGGGGAGCAAACAGGAUUAGAUACCCUGGUAGUCCACGCCCUAAACGAUGUCAACUGGUUGUCGGGGAAGUUAUUCCUUGGUAACGAAGCUAACGCGUGAAGUUGACCGCCUGGGGAGUACGGCCGCAAGGUUAAA